GAAGCAGUAUGCCAUCUUUACAACUCGGAGACAAAUUGUAGGCGCUACGAACCGGAGCAAGGACUAACCUCGCCUCAUAACGAGGCCGUGACCUCCUAUUUGCUCAGAGCUAUGUCUGCAAGUCCAGAUUUACACGAUGCUGAUAAUGACGACAUUGUGUCUGCCUGUAAGACCUAUUAUGAGACAGUACGCAGGAGCUUCAGGUACAAACAACCAGACCUUGCACCGCAGGCGGAAGCUGUGAAGAGUUCAGCUCGGAGUCGAUCGAGAAGAAAAAGGCUGCUGGAAGCUGGACAGAGUGUGCUAGAUGAGGAAGAGGAGGAACUUUGGAAGUCCGCCACCAUAGACCUGAUGUCUGAUGAGAAAGACAGCAUCGUUGGCGGGGUGUCUGGAUGGAUUGUGCGACCUCCGUCCUUUGGCAGCCAGGAGCUCACCGAGCUCUGUGCCACGCUGCAGUCCAGAUUAGAGGCGACUCCGAAGUACAGGGCAACGCACCACAGACGUCUGUAA
rnacentral:lncRNA from 1 species